UCGAUUUGGAGUUUGUUGCCUAGAGUGAUGGGCUCCGAAGCUAACGCGAUAAAUCGACCGCCUGGGGAGUACGGCCGCAAGGUUAAAACUCAAAUGAAUUGACGGGGGCCCGCACAAGCGGUGGAGCAUGUGGUUUAAUUCGAUGCAACGCGAAGAACCUUACCUGGUCUUGACAUCCACAGAAUCUUGCAGAGAUGCGAGAGUGCCUUCGGGAACUGUGAGACAGGUGCUGCAUGGCUGUCGUCAGCUCGUGUUGUGAAAUGUUGGGUUAAGUCCCGCAACGAGCGCAACCCUUAUCCUUUGUUGCCAUCGGUUCGGCCGGGAACUCAAAGGAGACUGCCGUUGAUAAAGCGGAGGAAGGUGGGGACGACGUCAAGUCAUCAUGGCCCUUACGACCAGGGCUACACACGUGCUACAAUGGCGUAUACAAAGGGAGGCGACCUCGCGAGAGCAAGCGGACCUCAUAAAGUACGUCUAAGUCCGGAUUGGAGUCUGCAACUCGACUCCAUGAAGUCGGAAUCGCUAGUAAUCGUGAAUCANAAUGUCACGGUGAAUACGUUCCCGGGCCU
rnacentral:rRNA from 1 species